rnacentral:rRNA from 1 species
GAUGAACGCUGGCGGCGUGCCUAAUACAUGCAAGUAGAACGCUGAAGGAGGAGCUUGCUCUUCUGGAUGAGUUGCGAACGGGUGAGUAACGCGUAGGUAACCUGCCUGGUAGCGGGGGAUAACUAUUGGAAACGAUAGCUAAUACCGCAUGACAACAGUUAUUGCAUGAUAACUGUUUAAAAGGGGCAACUGCUCCACUACCAGAUGGACCUGCGUUGUAUUAGCUAGUUGGUGAGGUAACGGCUCACCAAGGCGACGAUACAUAGCCGACCUGAGAGGGGGAUCGGCCGCACUGGGACUGAGACACGGCCCAGACUCCUACGGGAGGCAGCAGUAGGGAAUCUUCGGCAAUGGACGGAAGUCUGACCGAGCAACGCCGCGUGAGUGAAGAAGGUUUUCGGAUCGUAAAGCUCUGUUGCAAGGGAAGAACGAGUGUGAGAGUGGAAAGUUCACACUGUGACGGUAUCUUACCAGAAAGGGACGGCUAACUACGUG